rnacentral:tRNA from 1 species
CCCUGGUGGCUCAGAUGGUAAAGAAUCUGUCUGCAAUGCAGGAAACCCAGGUUCAAUCCCUGGAUCAGGAA